rnacentral:rRNA from 1 species
UACGUAGGUGGCAAGCGUUAUCCGGAUUUAUUGGGCGUAAAGCGAGCGCAGGCGGUUGCUUAGGUCUGAUGUGAAAGCCUUCGGCUUAACCGAAGAAGUGCAUCGGAAACCGGGCGACUCGAGUUCAGACGAGGUAGGCGGAAUAAGUUAAGUAGCGGUGAAAUGCUUAGAUAUAACUUAGAACUCCGAUAGCGAAGGCAGCUUACCAGACUGCGACUGACGCUGAAGCACGAGAGCGUGGGUAGCGAACAGG